rnacentral:rRNA from 1 species
AACGUAGGAGGCGAGCGUUAUCCGGGUUCACUGGGCGUAAAGGGCACGUAGGCGGCUCGGCAAAUCGGUCGUGGAAUCUCGACGCUUACCGUCGAAACGGCGGCCGAAAAUACCGGGCUCGAGGGCGUGAGGGGUCACUGGAACUCCUGGUGAAGCGGUGAAAUGCGUAGAUAUCAGGAGGAACGCCGGAGGCGAAAGCGAGUGACUGGCGCGUUCCUGACGCUGAGGUGCGAAAGCUAGGGGAGCAAACAGG